AAGUAUAAACAAAAAUGGUGUCAGACAAGAAAACGAAGAAGACCCAUGAAAGCAUCAACAACAGGCUUGCUCUCGUCAUGGAGAGUGGGAAAUACACUCUUGGCUAUAAGACAGUGCUCAAGUCCCUCCGGACUUCCAAAGGUUGUUUACCUUUUUCAAAUCUGAGCUCAAUUUCGUUUUCAUGCUUUUAGUUUUUUAUCAUUUGGGUUGCUAUUAGAUUUUUAAGAUGUUUUUUUAGUGAAGAAUAUUUGGGAUUUGUUGAUAUUUGAUAGGGAAGCUGAUUAUCAUCUCGAACAAUUGUCCGCUGAGGAAAUCUGAGAUCGAAUGCUACACGAUGCUUUGUAAAGUUGGGAUUCACCAGUACAAUGGAAGCCCAAUGUUCGGCCCAGUUUACGCAGUAACCCUAGUUCAUGGUUCCCAACUGAGCGCCGCAUACCCAAGAACUCCCCAUGCUCCACGCCUCGCCAGCCGCUCAACACACCCGGUUCUCUCGGUCACAAGCAACGGUCGUGGGUUCCAAGCAACUAACAAGCAUUCAAACAAUGAGUUUCAGUUUGUUUAGGACUCUAUGACUAAAAAUAGGAUGUAAAUAAACUAUAAAUGGAUGUAAUCAGAACCCAUCAGGGGACACUUUUUUUUUU